AGAGUUUGAUCCUGGCUCAGGACGAACGCUGGCGGCGUGCUUAACACAUGCAAGUGGAGCGACGAACCAGGCUUCGGCCUGGGGCAGAGCCGCGAACGGGUGAGUAACACGUGGGUAACCUGCCCUGAUGACUGGGACAACCCGGGGAAACCCGGGCUAAUACCGGAUGUGCCCUCCGUCCUCAAGGACGGCGGACAAAGGAAGCUUCGGCCUCCGCAUCGGGAUGGGCCCGCGGCCCAUUAGCUUGUUGGUGAGGUAACGGCCCACCAAGGCAACGAUGGGUAGCUGGUCUGAGAGGACGAUCAGCCACACUGGGACUGAGACACGGCCCAGACUCCUACGGGAGGCAGCAGUGGGGAAUCUUGCGCAAUGCGCGAAAGCGUGGCGCAGCAACGCCGCGUGGGGGAAGACGGCCUUCGGGUUGUAAACCCCUUUCAGGAGGGACGAAGGUCGGGCGGUGAAUAGCCGUUCCGGCUGACGGUACCUCCACAAGAAGCCCCGGCUAACUACGUGCCAGCAGCCGCGGUAAUACGUAGGGGGCUAGCGUUGUCCGGAAUCAUUGGGCGUAAAGAGCGUGUAGGCGGUCCGGUAAGUCCGUUGUGAAAGUCAAGGGCUCGACCCUUGAAUGCCGGCGGAUACUGUCGGGGCUAGAGUCCGGAAGAGGCGAGUGGAAUUCCCGGUGUANCGGUGAAAUGCGCAGAUAUCCGGAGGAACACCUAUUGCGAAGGCAGCUCGCUGGGACGGUACUGACCCUGAAACCCCAAAGCGUUGGGGAACCAACCGG
rnacentral:rRNA from 1 species